rnacentral:rRNA from 1 species
UGCCAGCAGCCGCGGUAAUACGUAGGGAGCGAGCGUUAUCCGGAAUUAUUGGGCGUAAAGCGCGCGUAGGCGGCCUGGUCAGUCGGAGGUGAAAGCCCGCAGCUCAACUGCGGAACUGCCCCCGAUACUGCUGGGCUUGAGUGCAGGAGGGGUGACUGGAACUCCAGGUGUAGCGGUGAAAUGCGUAGAUAUCUGGAGGAACACCAGAGGCGAAGGCGGGUCACUGGACUGCAACUGACGCUGAGGUGCGAAAGCUAGGGUAGCGAACAGGAUUAGAUA